AGAGUUUGAUCAUGGCUCAGGAUAAACGCUGGCGGCGUGCCUAAUGCAUGCAAGUCGAACGAGGUGGCAACACCUAGUGGCAAACGGGUGAGUAACACGUGGGGAUCUGCCCAAAAGUGGGGAAUAACUCCUCGAAAGAGGCGCUAAUACCGCAUAAGCUCCGUAAGGAGUAAAGAAGCAAUUCGCUUUUGGAGGAACCUGCGGCUGAUUAGCUAGUUGGUGGGGUAAAGGCCUACCAAGGCGAUGAUCAGUAGCUGGUCUGAGAGGAUGGACAGCCACACUGGGACUGCGAUACGGCCCAGACUCCUACGGGAGGCAGCAGCAAGGAAUUUUCGGCAAUGGGGGCAACCCUGACCGAGCAACGCCGCGUGGGCGAAGAAGUCUUUCGGGAUGUAAAGCCCUUUUCUGUGGGAAGAAGGAAAGACGGUACCACAGGAAUAAGCAUCGGCUAACUACGUGCCAGCAGCCGCGGUAAUACGUAGGAUGCAAGCGUUGUCCGGAAUUACUGGGCGUAAAGGGCGAGUAGGCGGCCCCGCAAGUCAGAUGUGAAAUAGCCCGGCUUAACCGGGAGGGGUCAUUUGAAACUGCGGAGCUAGAGUGCAGGAGAGGCUAGCGGAAUUCCCGGUGUAGUGGUGAAAUGCGUAGAUAUCGGGAGGAACACCAGUGGCGAAGGCGGCUAGCUGGCCUGUAACUGACGCUGAGGCGCGAAGGCUAGGGGAGCGAACAGGAUUAGAUACCCUAGUAGUCC
rnacentral:rRNA from 1 species